ensembl:snRNA U1 U1 spliceosomal RNA
AUAUUUACCUGGCAGGGGAGAUACCACUAUCAUAAAGCUGGUUUUCCAGGGCGAGGCUUAUCCAUUACACUCCGGAUGUGCUGACCCCCGCGAUUUCCACAAAUGCGGGAAACUCCACUGCAGAAUUUGUGGUAGUGGUGGAUUGCCUUCGUACUUACUGCGU